rnacentral:rRNA from 1 species
AGCAGUGGCCAUACCACCCUGAACAUGCCUGAUCUUGCCUGAUCUCCGGACCUAAGCAGGGUCAGGCCUGGUUAGUACUCAGACAGGAGACAUUUUAAUGACAGGUCUCCUCUCCAC